ACUCAGCUGGUUGAACCACUAUUAAAGAAUAAAUAACGAAUCUAAUAUGGCUGCGCCCAUGGCAUGGAUGUCAAGUAUGCACACUUGAUUAUGUCGCCAUUGUUCAGUCAUUUCAAACAGACUGCAAAGGAUGUACAUUUAACAAUAGUCGACCAGCGACGUUCAACGUCUCUGCCCCCAUCUACAAGUUCUCGACACUGGAUAAUCUGCAUCAUGGAACCAGGCAUUAUCAGACACAGUCAAAGGAUGCAACGUUCGUUGUGAGUGGCGAGCUGCAUGGUCAAUGUUACUGUACGUUAUGUCCUUCACAAUAGAAACUUGGCAAUGUCUGUCUUCUGAAAACCUCGAAUGAGGAGUUUACACUCAAUUAUCAUCGAAAAUGUACCCUUCAAAAGCAGCAGUUGAAGUGAUCCAGUUGGGUCGUAUUUCCUAUGGGCGUGCAUUACAGGUACAGCAACUCUAUGUUAGGAGACAUCUGGAUUCUAAAGACAAAUUGCACAAUGCUCUGCUACUAUGUGAACACCCACCAGUCUACACCAUAGGAAUCAGACAGGCACUAUACCCAUUCGAAGAAGAGCAAAGACUCAAACUCCUUGGUGCUGAAUUCUUUCGUAGCAACCGUGGCGGACUCAUAACUUUCCAUGGUCCAGGGCAGUUGGUGUGCUACCCAAUACUCAACUUGGGCUGCUUCAAGAAAAGCGUGCGAUGGUACGUGUGUGAGCUGGAGGGGACUGUCAUCAACCUUUGCAGAAAGUAUGGGAUAAAAGCAUCCACCUCCCCAAACACUGGGGUCUGGGUUGGAUCCAACAAGAUAUGUGCCAUAGGAAUCCAUUGUGGGAGAUACAUAACAUCUCAUGGCUUGGCACUGAACUGCAACACAGAUAUGGGCUGGUUUGAAAACAUUGUGCCUUGUGGGAUUGUAGGGAAAGGUGUCACAUCCCUUAGUCAAGAACUGGGAAGAGAUGUCUCUAUUGAAGAAUCCAUCCCACUACUGCUGGAAACUUUCCGUGAUCAGUUUGACUGCACACUGCAUAAUGGAGAAUAUUCAAAUAAUGAAUAAACACUGCUUGAAUCGAUGGACCAGAGCUCAGAUAGAGGCCCUAUUGCAGGAUAGGCAAGUGGAGGAGCUGAGGCUUAGGCUGUGCUGCAGGAUGGCAUUUGGGACGGCAGGGCUGAGGGCAGCCAUGGGCGUAGGCUUUGCCUUCAUUAAGGUUAUGACAAUCAUCCAGUCCACACAGCCAUAUGCUGUGAAGAGGCUGUGUGUUGCAGCGGAUGAGAUGGUCACUGCCUCUCACAACCCUAAAGAGGACAGCGGAUGCAAGGUAUCAGACUUCUGCUUUUCAUUUUACCAGGGUCACUUGAAUCAAGGCAUGGAGCAUACAGAAUCUAGAUUUAUUGUUGUACUAAAAGCUUUUAACACUGCAUUUUGUAGGAGACAGUAUGCUAUUUAGAGAAUGUUUUGGUGAGGAAAUGUUACUAUGGAAGCAUAAAAUCUCUGAAGCAUAAAAUCUUUUUUUCUACAAAUUGGUGUGCAUCUCCCGUGAAUAUAAAGUGGCCUCCAUGAUUGUUGUUUGGAUAUUUUGGUGUUGCAGGAGCUCUCCCUUCACCUUGCUAAGAGAGAGAGUGCCAAGAUUGUCAUGGCAACUGAUCCUGAUGCAGAUCGUUUGGGUUUUGCAGAGCAAUCUGACAGGUGGUAUACCUGAUACAAAUGUAGCCUACUUGCUUAGAAUAUAAUUAUACAACUGCUAUUACUGAAAUGCGCAGAUACAUUUUUAAAAUUGUAUUUUUUAUUUAUUGAUCAUUCGAAACGUACAAUAUACUUGCAGUGAAGCCGCUCAACAACUAAAUCAUCCAACAGAUUCCAAUUCAGAGCGACACACAGAAGCAUCCAGGGUCAAUGCCCUGCUCAAUGGCACGUUGACCGAUCUACCAUCAGGCCAAAAAACAUGAACCCAAACCCUCCAAGAUCCCCCCCACAGUUCCCCAAUAGCUGUCCUUCAACCAUUCGAGACCCCUCACACAGUCCCCCUCAAGAAUAAAAAAUACAAUGAAUUC